CUUGAAUGAAUUUAGAGAAUUGAAUGCCGUAACUUUGCUCGUUGUGUGAAGGCGUUUGAAACACAAACAACGAAACUAAGCAUGUAGACGCCUUUACAAUCUUGGUUUAGGACUCCGGUUCAAUCCCGGACGCCUCCACCA
rnacentral:tmRNA from 1 species